CUGGUUGAUCCUGCCAGUAGCAUAUGCUUGUUUCAAAGGCUAAGCCAUGCACGUCUAAGUACAUACUUUCAAUACAAGUGAAACCGCGAAUGGCUCAUUAAAUCAGUUACAGUUCCUUGGGGCCUGAUUCAUUUCAUCAUGAAAUACACGGAUAACUGUGGUAAUUCUAGAGCUAAUACGUGCCCAAAAGGGGACUCUUACGAGUUUCUGCGUUUGUUAGCCUAAAAGCCACUGGUGUUGUUAGCUCACAAGGCAAGCAACACCACUCCAAACAGGAACAAAAACAACCACGCUGAUCCUAUUGCCUUUGUGCAAAGGACGUACCCAGCAAGUGUCUGCCUUAUCAACUUUCGAUGGUACUCUAUACGGCUACCAUGGUGAUCACGGGUAACGGGGAAUCAGAGUUCGAUUCCGGAGAGGGAGCCUGAGAAACGGCUACCACAUCCAAGGAAGGCAGCAGGCACGCAAAUUACCCACUCCCGGAUAGGGGAGGUAGUGACGAAAAAUAACAAUGCGAGACUCUUAAGAGGCCUCGUAAUUGGAAUGAGAAAAGUUUAAAUACCUCAUACGAGGAUCAAUUGGAGGGCAAGUCUGGU
rnacentral:rRNA from 1 species